rnacentral:misc_RNA from 1 species
UCCGGCUUAUCACCGGCAGUCCCACUAGAGUGCCCAACUAAAUGAUGGCAACUAAUGGCGAGGGUUGCGCUCGUUGCGGGACUUAACCCAACAUCCCACGACACGAGCUGACGACAGCCAUGCAGCACCUGUGUCCCGACCUAUUGCCAGGAGGAAUCCAUCUCUGGAAACCGUCCGGGCAUGUCAAACCCAGGUAAGGUUCUUCGCGUUGCAUCGAAUUAAUCCGCAUGCUCCGCCGCUUGUGCGGGCCCCCGUCAAUUCCUUUGAGUUUUAGCCUUGCGGCCGUACUCCCCAGGCGGGGCGCUUAAUGCGUUAGCUGCGGCACGGAACCCGUCGAUAGAGUCCCACACCUAGUGCCCAACGUUUACGGCGUGGACUAC